rnacentral:rRNA from 1 species
AGUAACACGUGAGAAACCUGCCCCGAAGUUUGGGAUAACCCAGGGAAACUUGGGCUAAUACCAGAUGCCCUCUUUGAGUCGCAUGGCUCGAUGAGGAAAGAUUUAUCGCUUUGGGAGGGUCUCGCGGCCUAUCAGCUAGUUGGUGAGGUAACGGCUCACCAAGGCUUCGACGGGUAGCUAGUCUGAGAGGACGAAUAGCCACACUGGGACUGAGACACGGCCCAGACUCC